rnacentral:rRNA from 1 species
GACGAACGCUGGCGGCGUGCUUAACACAUGCAAGUCGAACGGAAAGGCCCUGCUUGUGUGGGGUGCUCGAGUGGCGAACGGGUGAGAAACAUGUGAGUAACCUUCCCUGGACUGGGGGACAACUUCAGGAAACUGGGGCUAAUACCGGAUAGGAGCGCCUGCUGCAUGGGGGGGGUUGGAAAGUUUCGGCGGUGGGGGGUGGACUCUCGGGUUAUCAGCUUGUUGGUGGGGGAGUGGCUUACCAAGGCUUUGGCGGGUAGCCGGCAUGGGAGCGUGGCCAGCCACCAUGGUCCUACGGGACGCAGCAGUCUCCUACGGGGGGCAGAGGGGGAGAGUAUUGCACAGUGGGCCGGAGCCUGAUGCGGCAGCGCUGCGAGCGGGAUGACCGCCUUCGGGUUGUAAACCGCUUUAAGCUGUGACGAAGCGUGAGUGACGUUACUGGGUAAAGAAGCACCGGCUAACUACGUG